rnacentral:misc_RNA from 1 species
UCCGAGUUGACCCCGGCAGUCUCCCAUGAGUCCCCGCCAUUACGCGCUGGCAACAUGGAACGAGGGUUGCGCUCGUUGCGGGACUUAACCCAACACCUCACGACACGAGCUGACGACAGCCAUGCACCACCUGUGAAGGUGUCCCGAAGGAAGACCGUGUUUCCACGGCUGUCACCUACAUGUCAAACCCAGGUAAGGUUCUUCGCGUUGCAUCGAAUUAAUCCGCAUGCUCCGCCGCUUGUGCGGGCCCCCGUCAAUUCCUUUGAGUUUUAGCCAUGCGGCCGUACUCCCCAGGCGGGGCACUUAAUGCGUUAGCUCCGGCACGGGAGGAGUCGACACCUCCCACACCUAGUGCCCAUCGUUUACGGCGUGGACUAC